GUGUACGUACAAGCAGUGGGAGCACCUUCGGGUGUGACUGCGUACCUUUUGUAUAAUGGGUCAGCGACUUAUAUUCAGUAGCAAGGUUAACCGUAUAGGGGAGCCGCAGGGAAACCGAGUCUUAACUGGGCGUUAAGUUGCAGGGUAUAGACCCGAAACCCGGUGAUCUAGCCAUGGGCAGGUUGAAGGUUGGGUAACACUAACUGGAGGACCGAACCGACUAAUGUUGAAAAAUUAGCGGAUGACUUGUGGCUGGGGGUGAAAGGCCAAUCAAACCGGGAGAUAGCUGGUUCUCCCCGAAAGCUAUUUAGGUAGCGCCUCGUGAAUUCAUCUUCGGGGGUAGAGCACUGUUUCGGCUAGGGGGUCAUCCCGAC
rnacentral:rRNA from 1 species